ensembl:lncRNA
GUGGAUACAUUUUUUUGAAAGGCAUGAUUGACGCUUGUGAAUGGCAGGCGAAAAACGAGUCCAGCAAGUUAGAAAAAAUUCCAAGUCUAGUUUUCCGUCAUCGUACAAAACCCCCUCUGCCCAGGAGUUGCUCAUCUUUAGUUCUCAGAAAGAGAGGAGUUAUUUGUACAUACUUUCUCAUCUGAGUAGUCUACAGGUCCUAGCAGACACAACGUCUCUGAUAUUCUCAGAGACCUAAAAGGACAUGGAUAUGAAGCCUCUGAUGAUUCUCCUCCUGCUAGCAGCUGUCACCACCACCGCCCCUGCAGCAGCUCAAACCACCACCGCCCCUGCAGCAGCUGUCACCACCACCACUCCCGCAGCAGCUGCCACUACCACCACUCCUGCAGCAGCUGGUACCACCACCACUCCUGCAGCAGCUGGUACCACCACAGCUUCGGCAGCAACCACUUCCGCUGCUGUCAUAUCAACUGACCCUCCAUCUUCUAGUGAAGGAACAAUGAGUCUUCAGUUCCGUCUCAACCAGACGUUCAACUCAGAUCUUUCCAACCCUUCCUCUUCAGGGUUCAAGACUCUGGCUGCCAAAGUGAUCUCUGAGGUGAACAAGGCUUUUGCUAAGACCCCAGGCUUCCGUCGUUCCAUUGUCAACUCAUUCAGGAGUGGAUCUGUGGUUACCGACAUUACCCUCGUGUUCGACAAUCAGUCUUCGGUUCCCAGCUCAAGCAACUCACAGGCAAUUCUCACCAGCAGUUCCACCUCCCUGAACAUUAUACCAGGCAGCAUCAGUGAUGGGUCAUCAACCAGCUCAGGAAGUGCUCCCCGACCCACUUCUUUCUCUCUGGCUGCCUUGCCUCUCAGUUUGGCUCUGUUAAUGGUACAGCUGCUGGCUAGCUAAUAGCCUGGGACAUAGCUGCUGUGGCUCUGCUAGCUACUAGGCUAGCUAAUAGCCUGGGGCAUAGCUGCUGUGGCUCUGCUAGCUGCUGGCUAACCAAUAGCCUGGGGCAUAGCUGCUGUGGCAUUGGUUUAACCAAUCAACAGUUUCCCAGCUCUCAUAGAUACAGCCUUAAAGCUAGAAUCCUUAGUUGCUACACCCAUUUUUUUACUUAUAAAUUCAUUAUAUCUACCCAUUGAUUCUAGAAGAAUAUAACAUAUGAAUACCUCAUGAGUUUAGAUCAACUGUCGUACCCCAUCAGAACCCACAAUAUGAGCUUGUUUUACCCCGAUGUUUCUAAACAAUGCAAACAAACACUGUACAGCUUUAAAACAUGAUUAAAACUAUAAUUCUGAUAUCAUGGAUGGUCAGUCCUGGCAUCCAUAGCUCUGUCUAUUUUAUUUUACGUGUCAAGUCAGUUAAGAACAAAUUCUUAUUUAAAAUGACGGCCUAGGAACAGUGGGUUAACUGCCUUGUAGCGGGGCAGAAUGGCAGAUUUUUGCUCGGGGAUUCGAUCUUGCCUUUUCGGUUACUAGUCCAAGACUCAUUAGAGCUGUCAAUUUUGCAUGAGGCGGCAGCCUAGUGGUUAGAGUGUAGAGGUGGCAGGUAGCCUAGUGGUUAGAGUGUAGAGGUGGCAGGUAGCCUAGUGGUUAGAGUGUAGAGGAGGCAGGUAGCCUAGUGGUUAGAGUGUAGAGGUGGCAGGUAGCCUAGUGGUUAGAGUGUAGAGGUGGCAGGUAGCCUAGUGGUUAGAGUGUAGAGGUGGCAGGUAGCCUAGUGGUUAGAGUGUAGAGGAGGCAGGUAGCCUAGUGGUUAGAGUGUAGAGGAGG